rnacentral:rRNA from 1 species
UUUUAACGGCCGCGGUAUUCUAACCGUGCAAAGGUAGCGUAAUCACUUGUCUCCUAAAUAGAGACCAGUAUGAACGGCUAAAUGAGGACAAACCUGUCUCUUACAACCUAUCAGUGAAACUGAUCUUCUAGUCCAAAAGCUAGUAUAGCCCCAUAAGACGAGAAGACCCUGUGGAGCUUAAAAUAAACUACUAACCAAGCCACUUACAGCACAACUAGUAUGAGUUUUGAGUUGGGGCGACUUCGGAACAAAACAAAACUUCCGAGCACAGAACCACCACUUCUAGCCAAGGCCAACAAGCCAAAACAGACAUCUGACCCAGUAAUACUGAUCAACGAACCAAGUUACCCCAGGGAUAACAGCGCUAUCUUCUUCAAGAGUCCAUAUCGACAAGAAGGUUUACGACCUCGAUGUUGGAUCAGGACACCCAAAUGGUGCAGCCGCUAUUAAAGGUUCGUUUGUUCAACGAUUAAAGUCCU